UGCUGAUUGAUGUAGUGGUUAGCAUAUCAGAUUCUGACGCAAUAUUCAGCGUUCUGGAUACCGGGGUUCGAAUCCCCGAUCGGCAU